rnacentral:rRNA from 1 species
AUUUGGAAUUAUUUAUCUUAAAUUAUACACUUCCUUAGAACAAUUUGGAUGUAGGCCCUGCUAUAUUUAAAUCUAAGUGAUUAAUUUGUUAUUAUAUUUUUAUUAUAUUUUUAUAAUUUAAAUUAGAGAAUAAUUUAUUCUCGUAGACAGGUAUAAAAUCGAUUUAUUCGAUGAAAGUUCUAGGUAGAACAAAGAUUAUGACUAUUUUCUAUCUAUAUGUCUUGACCAAAUUACGUGCCAGCAGUCGCGGUAAUACGUAGAAGACUAGUGUUAUUCAUCUUUAAUAGGUUUAAAGGGUACCUAGACGGUAUAAUUAGUCUUAAACAAGAAACGGUUAUGCUAGAGUUAUACAUGAGGAGGUGAGUAUUUAUGGAGUAGAGUUGAAAUUCUGUGAUACCUUAAGGACUGAUUACGGCGAAAGCAACCUUUUAUCUAAUAACUGACGUUGAGGGACGAAGGCUUGGGUAGCAAACAGGAUUAGAUACCCUAGUAGUCCAGGCAGAAAAUGAUGAAUGCCAUAGAUUAGAUAUUUUUUUUAGUCUAUAAAUGAAAGUGUAAGCAUUUCACCUCAAGAGUAAUGUGGCAACGCAGGAACUGAAAUCAUUAGACCGUUUCUGAAACCAGUAGUGAAGUAUGUUAUUUAAUUCGUAAUUACGCGAAAAACCUUACCACAAUUUGAAUAUUAUCUUAUAUUUAAUAACUAUUAAUUAAUUAUUAAAUUGAGAUAUUACAAGCGUUGCACGGCUGUCUUCAGUUAAUGUCGUGAGAUAUUGGUUAAUUCCAUUUAAUUAACGAAAACCCU